rnacentral:rRNA from 1 species
AUACGGAAGGUCCGGGCGUUAUCCGGAUUUAUUGGGUUUAAAGGGAGCGCAGGCGGAGAUGCAAGCGUGACGUCAAAUUUCGGGGCUCAACCCCGUCUCGCGUCGCGAACUGCGUCCCUUGGUUGCGGGAAGGGGAGGCGGAACUCGUGGUGUAGCGGGGAAAUGCAUAGAUAUCACGAAGAACUCCGAUCGCGAAGGCAGCCUUCCGGCCCGUCAACGACGCUCAUGCUCGAAGGUGCGGGUAUCAAACAGGAUUAGAUACCCUGGUAGUCCGCACAGUAAACGAUGGACACCCGCGGUUUGGCCUGUAUGGCUGAGCCGCCAAGCGAAAGCGUUAAGUGUCCCACCUGGGGAGUACGCCGGCAACGGUGAAACUCAAAGGAAUUGGCGGGG